GACGAACGCUGGCGGCGUGCUUAACACAUGCAAGUCGAACGGUGAAGGGAUCAGUUUUCUGGUUCUGGAUGAGUGGCGAACGGGUGAGUAACACGUGAGUAACCUGCCCCCUUCUUCUGGAUAACCGCAUGAAAGUGUGGCUAAUACGGGAUAUUCUGGGUCUGUCGCAUGACGGGUCUGGGAAAGAUGCGCCUUUGGGUGUUUUUGGUGGGGGAUGGGCUCGCGGCCUAUCAGCUUGUUGGUGGGGUGAUGGCCUACCAAGGCGGUGACGGGUAGCCGGCCUGAGAGGGUGGACGGUCACACUGGGACUGAGACACGGCCCAGACUCCUACGGGAGGCAGCAGUGGGGAAUAUUGCACAAUGGGCGCAAGCCUGAUGCAGCGACGCCGCGUGAGGGAUGGAGGCCUUCGGGUUGUGAACCUCUUUCGCCAGUGAAGCAGGCCCGCCUCGUUGUGGGUGGGUUGACGGUAGCUGGAUAAGAAGCGCCGGCUAACUACGUGCCAGCAGCCGCGGUAAUACGUAGGGCGCGAGCGUUGUCCGGAAUUAUUGGGCGUAAAGAGCUCGUAGGCGGCUGGUCGCGUCUGUCGUGAAAUCCUCUGGCUUAACUGGGGGCUUGCGGUGGGUACGGGCCGGCUUGAGUGCGGUAGGGGAGACUGGAACUCCUGGUGUAGCGGUGGAAUGCGCAGAUAUCAGGAAGAACACCGGUGGCGAAGGCGGGUCUCUGGGCCGUUACUGACGCUGAGGAGCGAAAGCGUGGGGAGCGAACAGG
rnacentral:rRNA from 1 species